GGCUUUGGUCGUCCGAGUUGUAUUCUAGAGAAGCGUUUUCCGCGCUGGACCGUGUACAAGUCUCUUGGAACAGAGCGUCAUAGAGGGUGAGAAUCCCGUCUUUGACACGGACUACCAGUGCUUUGUGAUGCGCUCUCAAAGAGUCGAGUUGUUUGGGAAUGCAGCUCAAAAUGGGUGGUAAAUUCCAUCUAAAGCUAAAUAUUGGCGAGAGACCGAUAGCGAACAAGUACCGUGAGGGAAAGAUGAAAAGCACUUUGGAAAGAGAGUUAAACAGUACGUGAAAUUGCUGAAAGGGAAACGCUUGAAGUCAGUCGCGUUGGUUAGAACUCAACCAGGCUUGCUUGGUGCAUUUUCUAUUCAACGGGCCAGCAUCAGUUUUGACUGUAGGAAAAAGAUCAGAGAAAUGUGGCACCUUCGGGUGUGUUAUAGUCUUUGGUUGCAUACUAUGGUUGGGACUGAGGAUCUCAGCACGCAUCUGCUGUGCUUAGGAUGCUGGCGUAAUGGCUUUAAACGACCCGUCUUGAAACACGGACCAAGGAGUCUAACAAACCUGCGAGUGUUUGGGUGGUAAACCCGAGCGCGUAAUGAAAGUGAAAGUUGGGAUCCCUGUCGCGGGGAGCACCGACGCCCGGACCAGACCUUCUGUGACGGAUCUGCGGUAGAGCAUGUUUGUUGGGACCCGAAAGAUGGUGAACUAUGCCUGAAUAGGGUGAAGCCAGAGGAAACUCUGGUGGAGGCUCGUAGCGAUUCUGACGUGCAAAUCGAUCGUCAAAUUUGGGUAUA
rnacentral:rRNA from 1 species